UACGAAGGUGGCAAGCGUUACUCGGAAUUACUAGGCGUAAAGGGCGCGUAGGCGGUUCGUACAGUCAGACGUGAAAUUCCUGGGCUCAACCUGGGGGCUGCGUUUGAUACGUGCGGACUUGAGUGCGGAAGAGGGUCGUGGAAUUCCCAGUGUAGAGGUGAAAUUCGUAGAUAUUGGGAAGAACACCGGUGGCGAAGGCGGCGACCUGGUCCGAUACUGACGCUGAGGCGCGAAAGCGUGGGGAGCAAACAGG
rnacentral:rRNA from 1 species